ACGAACGCUGGCGGCGCGCCUAACACAUGCAAGUCGAACGAGCGAGAGAGAGCUUGCUUUCUCGAGCGAGUGGCGAACGGGUGAGUAACGCGUGAGGAACCUGCCUCAAAGAGGGGGACAACAGUUGGAAACGACUGCUAAUACCGCAUAAGCCCACAGCUCGGCAUCGAGCAGAGGGAAAAGGAGCAAUCCGCUUUGAGAUGGCCUCGCGUCCGAUUAGCUGGUUGGUGAGGUAACGGCCCACCAAGGCGACGAUCGGUAGCCGGACUGAGAGGUUGAACGGCCACAUUGGGACUGAGACACGGCCCAGACUCCUACGGGAGGCAGCAGUGGGGAAUAUUGCACAAUGGGGGAAACCCUGAUGCAGCGACGCCGCGUGGAGGAAGAAGGUCUUCGGAUUGUAAACUCCUGUUGUUGAGGAAGAUAAUGACGGUACUCAACAAGGAAGUGACGGCUAACUACGUGCCAGCAGCCGCGGUAAAACGUAGGUCACAAGCGUUGUCCGGAAUUACUGGGUGUAAAGGGAGCGCAGGCGGGAAGACAAGUUGGAAGUGAAAUCCAUGGGCUCAACCCAUGAACUGCUUUCAAAACUGUUUUUCUUGAGUAGUGCAGAGGUAGGCGGAAUUCCCGGUGUAGCGGUGGAAUGCGUAGAUAUCGGGAGGAACACCAGUGGCGAAGGCGGCCUACUGGGCACCAACUGACGCUGAGGCUCGAAAGUGUGGGUAGCAAACAGGAUUAGAUACCCUGGUAGUCCGCACAGUAAACGAUGGAUGCUCGCUGUGAGUCAGUUGUGAUUUGCGGCCAAGCGAAAGCGUUAAGUAUCCCACCUGGGGAGUACGCCGGCAACGGUGAAACUCAAAGGAAUUGACGGGGGCCCGCACAAGCAGUGGAGUAUGUGGUUUAAUUCGACGCAACGCGAAGAACCUUACCAAGUCUUGACAUCCUGCGACGCACAUAGAAAUAUGUGUUUCCUUCGGGACGCAGAGACAGGUGGUGCAUGGUUGUCGUCAGCUCGUGUCGUGAGAUGUUGGGUUAAGUCCCGCAACGAGCGCAACCCUUAUGGUCAGUUACUACGCAAGAGGACUCUGGCCAGACUGCCGUUGACAAAACGGAGGAAGGUGGGGAUGACGUCAAAUCAUCAUGCCCUUUAUGACUUGGGCUACACACGUACUACAAUGGCGUUAAACAAAGAGAAGCAAGACCGCGAGGUGGAGCAAAACUCAGAAACAACGUCCCAGUUCGGACUGCAGGCUGCAACUCGCCUGCACGAAGUCGGAAUUGCUAGUAAUCGCAGAUCAGCAUGCUGCGGUGAAUACGUUCCCGGGCCUUGUACACACCGCCCGUCACACCAUGAGAGCCGGGGGGACCCGAAGUCGGUAGUCUAACCGCAAGGAGGACGCCGCCGAAGGUAAAACUGGUGAUUGGGGUG
rnacentral:rRNA from 1 species